rnacentral:rRNA from 1 species
AUUGAACGCUGGCGGCAGGCCUAACACAUGCAAGUCGAGCGGAUGAAGGGAGCUUGCUCCUGGAUUCAGCGGCGGACGGGUGAGUAAUGCCUAGGAAUCUGCCUGGUAGUGGGGGAUAACGUCCGGAAACGGGCGCUAAUACCGCAUACGUCCUGAGGGAGAAAGUGGGGGAUCUUCGGACCUCACGCUAUCAGAUGAGCCUAGGUCGGAUUAGCUAGUUGGUGGGGUAAAGGCCUACCAAGGCGACGAUCCGUAACUGGUCUGAGAGGAUGAUCAGUCACACUGGAACUGAGACACGGUCCAGACUCCUACGGGAGGCAGCGGUGGGGAAUAUUGGACAAUGGGCGAAAGCCUGAUCCAGCAUGCCGCGUGUGUGAAGAAGGUCUUCGGAUUGUAAAGCACUUUAAGUUGGGAGGAAGGGCAGUAAGUUAAUACCUUGCUGUUUUGACGUUACCAACAGAAUAAGCACCGGCUAACUUCGUG